rnacentral:rRNA from 1 species
GAUGAACGCUGGCGGCGUGCCUAAUACAUGCAUGUCGAGCGAACAGACGAGGAGCUUGCUCCUCUGACGUUAGCGGCGGACGGGUGAGUAACACAUGGAUAACCUACCUAUAAGACUGGGAUAACUUCGGGAAACCGGAGCUAAUACCGGAUAAUAUAUUGAACCGCAUGGUUCAAUAGUAAAAGACGGUUUUGCUGUCACUUAUAGAUGGAUCCGCGCCGCAUUAGCUAGUUGGUAAGGUAACGGCUUACCAAGGCGACGAUGCGUAGCCGACCUGAGAGGGUGAUCGGCCACACUGGAACUGAGACACGGUCAGACUCCUACGGGAGGCAGCAGUAGGGAAUCUUCCGCAAUGGGCGAAAGCUUGACGGAGCAACGCCGCGUGAGUGAUGAAGGUCUUCGGAUCGUAAAACUCUGUUAUUAGGGAAGAACAAAUGUGUAAGUAACUAUGCACGUCUUGACGGUACCUAAUCAGAAAGCCACGGCUAACUACGUG